rnacentral:rRNA from 1 species
GAUGAACGCUGGCGGCAGGCCUAACACAUGCAAGUCGAGCGAAGCCUUCGGGCUUAGUGGCGGACGGGUGAGUAACGCGUGGGAACGUGCCCUUUGGUACGGAAUAGCCCCGGGAAACUGGGAGUAAUACCGUAUGUGGUCGAGAGACGAAAGAUUUAUCGCCAAAGGAUCGGCCCGCGUUGGAUUAGGUAGUUGGUGGGGUAAUGGCCUACCAAGCCGACGAUCCAUAGCUGGUUUGAGAGGAUGAUCAGCCACACUGGGACUGAGACACGGCCCAGACUCCUACGGGAGGCAGCAGUGGGGAAUCUUAGACAAUGGGGGAAACCCUGAUCUAGCCAUGCCGCGUGAUCGAUGAAGGCCUUAGGGUUGUAAAGAUCUUUCAGUGGGGAAGAUAAUGACUGUACCCACAGAAGAAGCCCCGGCUAACUCCGUGCCAGCCGCCGCCGUAAUAC